GGGGAAUAUUGGACAAUGGGCGAAAGCCUGAUCCAGCAACGCCGCGUGAGGGAUGACGGCCUUCGGGUUGUAAACCUCUUUCAGUAGGGACGAAGCGCAAGUGACGGUACCUACAGAAGAAGCACCGGCCAACUACGUGCCAGCAGCCGCGGUAAUACGUAGGGUGCGAGCGUUGUCCGGAAUUAUUGGGCGUAAAGGGCUCGUAGGCGGUUUGUCACGUCGGGAGUGAAAUCUCAGGGCUUAACCCUGAGCCUGCUUCCGAUACGGGCAGACUAGAGGUAUGCAGGGGAGAACGGAAUUCCUGGUGUAGCGGUGAAAUGCGCAGAUAUCAGGAGGAACACCGGUGGCGAAGGCGGUUCUCUGGGCAUUACCUGACGCUGAGGAGCGAAAGUGUGGGGAGCGAAC
rnacentral:rRNA from 1 species